GCCGGGGUUGUGGAGUGCAUUACUGAGAACUCAACUCAAUAUCGCCCCCCCCGUCCUCAUUGUCAGACCUCGGCUGUAGCACCACUUAGUCAGCCUCUGGGUCUCCAUCAGCAAAAGCCUACAUGCUGCUGGCUAAAUUGAAACAAAAACGUCACACGUUUACCUGUCCCCGCAUACGGAGGGUGUGUGUGUGUGUGUGGGUGUGUGUCCUGGUGGUCGGGAGGGGUGCGUGUCAGUCAGCGGUGAGCGGAAAGUAGAGGUGAGGUAACCAAAGAGUGGCUGUUCGACCCCGCUGAUCGGUACAUGGACCCCCAUUAGACCUUACACGCUCUUACGCGUUUCCUAUGACCAAACUGAGUGAUGGUAGAAAUUACAGGUUUGUGCAAAAGGAGGAGUUUUUUAGGAGCUUUUGGAGAGGGGAGGGGCUGGUUAGGAUGGGAUGGGAUGGCAAAAAAGUGCCGACUAAGCCACAAUCUUGGCUGUGGUUUGCCACCACAGUAUAAACCAAUCCCUAUCUUAAGAGUGCGACUCGCGUGCGCCAUGGGAAGACAUCUGGUUUCAGCCGCUCCAGGUACUGCCAAAAAGUCCCCUAGCCCCGGAAGAGCUUCACUCCUUUGCUCUCGGCACCGUUUGGCGCUUGUUUUCCGUCAACACCGAGCAAGCGGGCGUGGAAAAAUCCCACCACAACUAUUAAUCACUCAGGGCGGACAUGGACGGCAUCCCACUCCCACACCAGCCUUUGUCCUCUCAAACUACAACUUGAGCGAUGCAAAGCUGUCACCAGGAUCACGUGGCUCGACAUGACCGUGCUCUGGAGGCUAAUCCAACCUUGCCUUUCGCCACCACACCUCAACUUUUCCCUGACCCGGGCAAAGGCACAUAGAGUCGAGUAGGAUGUCACUUUAGGGCAGAAAUCAAGGAGGAAUUGUAAACCAAAGGGCCUCAGCUACUUUUCGCUGCACUUUUUUCCCCUAGACUCGCCCUUUUUUCCACAAAAAAGUAGAAGCUGAUUCAUUAUGUUUAAAAUCUAAUCUGUUUUUAGCGUAAAACAAAUGUUCCAGAGUUAUUUACACAAAUCAAGGCUCCUUAUCACUGUCAGCGAGGAGGAGUUGAUAGGCGCAGACCUUUCUGGAUGUUGGCCAGACGACGCUCCAUAUCUUCCCACAAUGUUGACACUCGGAGCUCUUAACAGCCAGGGGCUUGGGUUACCGAUACACUCAGCCGAAGAUAACUCUUUCUGCGAGGUUUACACCGGCCAACAUCAAGGCUAAUGCGAAAUUCAACGCCUUAAGCUGACUGGAGCCAUCUCUCAUGGACGCAGACUAGCACUGGGACGGGCGGAUUAGGGACUGGAGGGGGGAUUUGUGCUUACUUAGGUGGUUGUAAUAAAGCUUUUUGAAUUUU